ensembl:piRNA 21ur-4814 ncRNA
UGGCAUCUCCGGAAAAAACGA